CCUACGGGUGGCAGCAGUCGAGAAUUUUUCUCAAUGGGGGAAACCCUGAAGGAGCGACGCCGCGUGGAGGAUGAAGGUCUUCGGAUUGUAAACUCCUGUCAUGAGGGAGUAAGGCAUUACGUUAACUGCGUGGAUGUUUGAUAGUACCUCAAGAGGAAGAGACGGCUAACUCUGUGCCAGCAGCCGCGGUAAUACAGAGGUCUCAAGCGUUGUUCGGAUUCAUUGGGCGUAAAGGGUGCGUAGGCGGUUUGGUAAGUCAGAUGUGAAAUUCCUGGGCUCAACCGAGGAACUGCAUUUGAUACUGCCAGACUAGAGUACUGGAGAGGAGACUGGAAUUCACGGUGUAGCAGUGAAAUGCGUAGAUAUCGUGAGGAAGGCCAGUGGCGAAGGCGAGUCUCUGGACAGUAACUGACGCUGAGGCACGAAGGCCAGGGGAGCAAACGGGAUUAGAUACCCUAGUAGUC
rnacentral:rRNA from 1 species